AAUUAAUAUGGCCAUAGCACUG
rnacentral:rRNA from 1 species